UACAGAGGUCCCGAGCGUUGUUCGGAUUCACUGGGCGUAAAGGGUGCGUAGGUGGUGAGGUAAGUCGGAUGUGAAAUCUCCGGGCUCAACCUGGGAACUGCAUUUGUGACUGCAUCGCUGGAGUGCGGCAGAGGGGGAUGGAAUUCCGCGUGUAGCAGUGAAAUGCGUAGAUAUGCGGAGGAACACCGAUGGCGAAGGCAAUCCCCUGGGGCCUGCACUGACGCUCAUGCACGAAAGCGUGGGGAGCAAACAGG
rnacentral:rRNA from 1 species